rnacentral:misc_RNA from 1 species
GAUGAAGAACGUAGCGAAAUGCGAUACGUAAUGUGAAUUGCAAAUUCAGUGAAUCAUCGAGUCUUUGAACGCACAUUGCGCCCCCUGGUAUUCCGGGGGGCAUGCCUGUCCGAGCGUCAUUGCUGCCCUCAAGCACGGCUUGUGUGUUGGGCCCCGUCCUCCGAUCCCGGGGGACGGGCCCGAAAGGCAGCGGCGGCACCGCGUCCGGUCCUCGAGCGUAUGGGGCUUUGUCACCCGCUCUGUAGGCCCGGCCGGCGCUUGCCGAUCAACCCAAAUUUUUAUCCAGGUUGACCUCGGAUCAGGUAUGGAUACCCGCUGAACUUAAGCAUAUCAAUAAGCGGAGGA